GAUGAACGCUGGCGGCGUGCCUAAUACAUGCAAGUAGAACGCGGAAGGAGGAGCUUGCUCUUCUGGAUGAGUUGCGAACGGGUGAGUAACGCGUAGGUAACCUGCCUGGUAGCGGGGGAUAACUAUUGGAAACGAUAGCUAAUACCGCAUGACAACAGUUAUUGCAUGAUAACUGUUUAAAAGGGGCAACUGCUCCACUACCAGAUGGACCUGCGUUGUAUUAGCUAGUUGGUGAGGUAACGGCUCACCAAGGCGACGAUACAUAGCCGACCUGAGAGGGUGAGCGGCCACACUGGGCUUGGGACACGGCCCACACUACUACGGGAGGCAGCAGUAGGGAACCUCCGGCAAUGGACGGAAGGCUGACCGAGCAACGCUGCGUGAGUGACGAAGGUUGUCGUAUCGCAAAGCUCUGUUGUAAGAGAAGAACGAGUGUGAGAGUGGAAAGUUCACACUGUGACGGUACCUUACCAGAAAGGGACGGCUAACUACGUG
rnacentral:rRNA from 1 species